GAGUUGCAGCCCCUCACCGGACGGAGUCGCUA
rnacentral:scRNA from 1 species